UACGUAGGUGGCAAGCGUUGUCCGGAUUUACUGGGCGUAAAGAGCGCGCAGGCGGUCGUUCAAGUCGCGUGUGAAAGCCCCCGGCUCAACUGGGGAGGGUCACGCGAUACUGAUCGACUCGAAGGCAGGAGAGGGUAGUGGAAUUCCCGGUGUAGUGGUGAAAUGCGUAGAUAUCGGGAGGAACACCAGUGGCGAAGGCGGCUCGCUGGGCCAGUUCUGACACUCAUCCGCGAAAGCGUGGGGAGCAAACAGG
rnacentral:rRNA from 1 species